rnacentral:rRNA from 1 species
CCCGGCGACCGGCGCACGGGUGAGUAACACGUAUGCAACCUGGCCGUGACAGAUGGAUAACCGGGAGAAAUCCCGCCUAAUACAACAUAAUGCCGGGAGGGGACAUCCCCUGCCGGCCAAAGGGGGCGACCCCGGUCACGGAUGGGCAUGACGGCGCAUUAGGUAGUUGGUGGGGCAACGGCCCACCAAGCCGACGAUGCGCAGGGGUUCUGAGAGGAAGGUCCCCCACAUUGGAACUGAGACACGGUCCAAACUCCUACGGAAGGCAGCAG